rnacentral:misc_RNA from 1 species
AGACAGCGCUUACUUGGACCGUGACUCCUACACAGUACUCCAACCCACGGCCUGGAUACCAUUGCUGGACACUGACCAACAAAAUGGAUGCAUGCAGGUCGCACACAGAGGUCAUAAAACAGGAAAAGUAGCCACUCAUCAAUGCUGCUAUGGUAACACGUGGUAUGUCAUGCUGGAGGAGAAAGAGAUGGCCAAAUCUCUCGUUUACCAAAUUUAUCGAAGCAAAUCCGUUGGAGUCUGGAUCUCCGAUGGCAGAAGCCAGAAAAACCUGCCGGAUUUUACGGAAUCCGCGAGCACCUGCUGUUCCGUACGUCCAGAGACCCCGGCUACAAGAUUGACUGGUCCAGCUUUGAGGGUGACAACCGAUGGGACAUUCAGAAGGAGUACGUCAACGACCUGGAUGUACUUCCGAAUGCCGAAGAUAAAGAUUUUGACACGACUAUUCAAGGACCAUGGAUGAAGAAAUGGGAUCUUGUGAACCACAACACUCAUACUGCAAAAAUGGAGGAUGAUGUGAAAAGUACAUGGCAUGCUCAACAAGUGAAGGCCUGAAUCCCUGACUGUCAGCUACUCGUCUAUACCCUUACGACUCCUCUACAGACAAGUUGUUAACCUAACGAUUUCAUUUUGAUUCCAAUGCUACUGUUUCAGUUGAUUCCAAUCAUAUAUGUUAUAGUCAGUGUUUUCAUUUAAUUUAGCUGAUGUAUUGAUUAAUUGUAAUUAAAACAAGAGACCAUUUGCCUCAUCGAUCACAUGAGCAACGACAGUCAUGAUAAAAUCAGCUUUAUGGAGUCAUAUACAAAAUAUCUGAACAAUGUAGUAAAAUAGACCCUGAAUAACACUGAGCCCCUUUUGUACUUGGAUGAUUUCUUUGUCAUAUUAUAUAUUGAGCAUUGCAGUUCUGAAGAAAAUCAAGAUCAAGAAGAUAAAUCAACAAUUAAGAAUC